rnacentral:rRNA from 1 species
AUGCAAGUCGAGCGGGCUUAUUCGGGCAACUGGAUAAGUUAGCGGCGAACUGGUGAGUAACACGUAGGUAAUCUGCCGUAGAGUGGGGGAUAACCCAUGGAAACAUGGACUAAUACCGCAUAUACUCUUGACGCUAAAGCGUAGUAGAGGAAAGGAGCAAUCCGCUUUACGAUGAGCCUGCGGCCUAUUAGCCUGUUGGUGAGAUAAAAGCCCACCAAAGCUACGAUAGGUAGCCGACCUGAGAGGGUGACCGGCCACAUUGGGACUGAGAUACGGCCCAGACUCCUACGGGAGGCAGCAGCUGAGAAUCUUCCACAAUGGACGAAAGUCUGAUGGAGCGACAUCGCGUGAGGGAUGAAGGCCUUCGGGUUGUAAACCUUGGAAAUUAUCGAAGAAUGAGUGACAGUAGAUAAUGUAAGCCUCGGCUAACUACGUGCCAGCAGCCGCGGUAAUACGUAGGAGGCAAACGUUGCUCGGAUUUACUGGGCGUAAAGGGUGAGUAGGCGGAACUAUAAGUCUAAGGUGAAAUAUCGAAGCUCAACUUCGGAAACGUCUCGGAUACUGUGGUUCUUGGAUAUUGUAGGGGAUGAUGGAAUUCUCGGUGUAGCGGUGGAAUGUAUAGAUAUCGAGAAGAACACCUAUAGCGAAGGCAGUCAUCUGGGCAUUUAUCGACGCUGAAUCACGAAAGCUGGGGGAGCAAACAGGCUUAGAUACCCUGGUAGUCCCAGCCGUAAACGUUGCACACUAGGUGCUCCUAUUAAAAUAGGCGUGCCGUAGCUAACGUCUUAAGUGUGCCGCCUGAGGAGUAUGCCCGCAAGGGUGAAACUCAAAGAAAUUGACGGGUCCCCGCACAAGUGGUGGAGCAUGUGGUUUAAUUCGAUGAUACGCGAAAAACCUUACCUGGGUUUGAAUUGU